rnacentral:rRNA from 1 species
UACAUGGGGUGCAAACGUUGCUCGGAAUUAUUGGGCGUAAAGCGCGCGUAGGCGGUUUUGUAAGACUGUCGUGAAAUCCCCGGGCUCAACCUGGGAAUGGCGAUGGUGACUGCAAGGCUAGAGUUUGGCAGAGGGGGGUAGAAUUCCACGUGUAGCAGUGAAAUGCGUAGAUAUGUGGAGGAACACCGAUGGCGAAGGCAGCCCCCUGGGUCAAAACUGACGCUCAUGCACGAAAGCGUGGGGAGCAAACAGG